UUAAGCGACUAAGCGUACACGGUGGAUGCCCUGGCAGUCAGAGGCGAUGAAGGACGUGCUAAUCUGCGAUAAGCGUCGGUAAGGUGAUAUGAACCGUUAUAACCGGCGAUUUCCGAAUGGGGAAACCCAGUGUGUUUCGACACACUAUCAUUAACUGAAUCCAUAGGUUAAUGAGGCGAACCGGGGGAACUGAAACAUCUAAGUACCCCGAGGAAAAGAAAUCAACCGAGAUUCCCCCAGUAGCGGCGAGCGAACGGGGAGGAGCCCAGAGCCUGAAUCAGUGUGUGUGUUAGUGGAAGCGUCUGGAAAGGCGCGCGAUACAGGGUGACAGCCCCGUACACAAAAAUGCACAUGCUGUGAGCUCGAUGAGUAGGGCGGGACACGUGGUAUCCUGUCUGAAUAUGGGGGGACCAUCCUCCAAGGCUAAAUACUCCUGACUGACCGAUAGUGAACCAGUACCGUGAGGGAAAGGCGAAAAGAACCCCGGCGAGGGGAGUGAAAAAGAACCUGAAACCGUGUACGUACAAGCAGUGGGAGCCUCUUAAUGGGGUGACUGCGUACCUUUUGUAUAAUGGGUCAGCGACUUAUAUUCUGUAGCAAGGUUAACCGAAUAGGGGAGCCGAAGGGAAACCGAGUCUUAACUGGGCGUUAAGUUGCAGGGUAUAGACCCGAAACCCGGUGAUCUAGCCAUGGGCAGGUUGAAGGUUGGGUAACACUAACUGGAGGACCGAACCGACUAAUGUUGAAAAAUUAGCGGAUGACUUGUGGCUGGGGGUGAAAGGCCAAUCAAACCGGGAGAUAGCUGGUUCUCCCCGAAAGCUAUUUAGGUAGCGCCUCGUGAAUUCAUCUCCGGGGGUAGAGCACUGUUUCGGCAAGGGGGUCAUCCCGACUUACCAACCCGAUGCAAACUGCGAAUACCGGAGAAUGUUAUCACGGGAGACACACGGCGGGUGCUAACGUCCGUCGUGAAGAGGGAAACAACCCAGACCGCCAGCUAAGGUCCCAAAGUCAUGGUUAAGUGGGAAACGAUGUGGGAAGGCCCAGACAGCCAGGAUGUUGGCUUAGAAGCAGCCAUCAUUUAAAGAAAGCGUAAUAGCUCACUGGUCGAGUCGGCCUGCGCGGAAGAUGUAACGGGGCUAAACCAUGCACCGAAGCUGCGGCAGCGACACUAUGUGUUGUUGGGUAGGGGAGCGUUCUGUAAGCCUGUGAAGGUAGCCUGUGAGGGUUGCUGGAGGUAUCAGAAGUGCGAAUGCUGACAUAAGUAACGAUAAAGCGGGUGAAAAGCCCGCUCGCCGGAAGACCAAGGGUUCCUGUCCAACGUUAAUCGGGGCAGGGUGAGUCGACCCCUAAGGCGAGGCCGAAAGGCGUAGUCGAUGGGAAACAGGUUAAUAUUCCUGUACUUGGUGUUACUGCGAAGGGGGGACGGAGAAGGCUAUGUUGGCCGGGCGACGGUUGUCCCGGUUUAAGCGUGUAGGCUGGUUUUCCAGGCAAAUCCGGAAAACCAAGGCUGAGGCGUGAUGACGAGGCACUACGGUGCUGAAGCGACAAAUGCCCUGCUUCCAGGAAAAGCCUCUAAGCAUCAGGUAACAUCAAAUCGUACCCCAAACCGACACAGGUGGUCAGGUAGAGAAUACCAAGGCGCUUGAGAGAACUCGGGUGAAGGAACUAGGCAAAAUGGUGCCGUAACUUCGGGAGAAGGCACGCUGAUAUGUAGGUGAAGCGACUUGCUCGUGGAGCUGAAAUCAGUCGAAGAUACCAGCUGGCUGCAACUGUUUAUUAAAAACACAGCACUGUGCAAACACGAAAGUGGACGUAUACGGUGUGACGCCUGCCCGGUGCCGGAAGGUUAAUUGAUGGGGUUAGCGGUAACGCGAAGCUCUUGAUCGAAGCCCCGGUAAACGGCGGCCGUAACUAUAACGGUCCUAAGGUAGCGAAAUUCCUUGUCGGGUAAGUUCCGACCUGCACGAAUGGCGUAAUGAUGGCCAGGCUGUCUCCACCCGAGACUCAGUGAAAUUGAACUCGCUGUGAAGAUGCAGUGUACCCGCGGCAAGACGGAAAGACCCCGUGAACCUUUACUAUAGCUUGACACUGAACAUUGAGCCUUGAUGUGUAGGAUAGGUGGGAGGCUUUGAAGUGUGGACGCCAGUCUGCAUGGAGCCGACCUUGAAAUACCACCCUUUAAUGUUUGAUGUUCUAACGUUGGCCCCUAAUCGGGGUUGCGGACAGUGUCUGGUGGGUAGUUUGACUGGGGCGGUCUCCUCCUAAAGAGUAACGGAGGAGCACGAAGGUUGGCUAAUCCUGGUCGGACAUCAGGAGGUUAGUGCAAUGGCAUAAGCCAGCUUGACUGCGAGCGUGACGGCGCGAGCAGGUGCGAAAGCAGGUCAUAGUGAUCCGGUGGUUCUGAAUGGAAGGGCCAUCGCUCAACGGAUAAAAGGUACUCCGGGGAUAACAGGCUGAUACCGCCCAAGAGUUCAUAUCGACGGCGGUGUUUGGCACCUCGAUGUCGGCUCAUCACAUCCUGGGGCUGAAGUAGGUCCCAAGGGUAUGGCUGUUCGCCAUUUAAAGUGGUACGCGAGCUGGGUUUAGAACGUCGUGAGACAGUUCGGUCCCUAUCUGCCGUGGGCGCUGGAGAACUGAGGGGGGCUGCUCCUAGUACGAGAGGACCGGAGUGGACGCAUCACUGGUGUUCGGGUUGUCAUGCCAAUGGCACUGCCCGGUAGCUAAAUGCGGAAGAGAUAAGUGCUGAAAGCAUCUAAGCACGAAACUUGCCCCGAGAUGAGUUCUCCCUGACUCCUUGAGAGUCCUGAAGGAACGUUGAAGACGACGACGUUGAUAGGCCGGGUGUGUAAGCGCAGCGAUGCGUUGAGCUAACCGGUACUAAUGAACCGUGAGGCUUAACCUU
rnacentral:rRNA from 2 species